AACGAACGCUGGCGGCAUGCCUAACACAUGCGAGUCGAACGAUGCUUUCGGGCAUAGUGGCGCACGGGUGCGUAACGCGUGGGAAUCUGCCCUGGGGUUCGGGAUAACAGCGGGAAACUGCUGCUAAUACCGGAUGAUAUCGCGAGAUCAAAGAUUUAUCGCCCUGGGAUGAGCCCGCGUCGGUUUAGGUAGUUGGGGGGGUAAGAGCCUACCAGGCCGACGAUCCGUAGCUGGUCUGAGAGGAUGGUCCGCCACACUGGGACGGGGACGCGGCCCGGACUCCUACGGGAGGCAGCAGUGGGGAAUAUUGGACAAUGGGCGCAAGCCUGAUCCAGCAAUGCCGCGUGAGUGAUGAAGGCCUUAGGGUUGUAAAGCUCUUUUACCCGGGAUGAUAAUGACGGUACCGGGAGAAUAAGCCCCGGCUAACUCCGUG
rnacentral:rRNA from 1 species